AGUGAACGCUGGCGGUAGGCUUAACACAUGCAAGUCGAACGGCAGCACAGUAAGAGCUUGCUCUUACGGGUGGCGAGUGGCGGACGGGUGAGGAAUACAUCGGAAUCUACUUUUUCGUGGGGGAUAACGUAGGGAAACUUACGCUAAUACCGCAUACGACCUACGGGUGAAAGCAGGGGAUCUUCGGACCUUGCGCGAUUGAAUGAGCCGAUGUCGGAUUAGCUAGUUGGCGGGGUAAAGGCCCACCAAGGCGACGAUCCGUAGCUGGUCUGAGAGGAUGAUCAGCCACACGGGAAGUGAGACAGGGUCCAGACUCCUACGGGAGGGAGCAGUGGGGAAUAUUGGACAAUGGGCGCAAGCCUGAUCCAGCCAUACCGCGUGGGUGAAGGAGGCCUUCGGGUUGUAAAGCCCUUUUGUUGGGAAAGAAAAGCAGCAGGUUAAUACCCCGCUGUUCUGACGGUACCCAAAGAAUAAGCACCGGCUAACUUCGUG
rnacentral:rRNA from 1 species